rnacentral:rRNA from 1 species
UACGUAGGGGGCAAGCGUUGUCCGGAUUUAUUGGGCGUAAAGAGCGUGUAGGCGGCUUUGCAAGUCCGUUGUGAAAACUCGAGCUCAACCUCGAGACGCCGGUGGAAACUGCAAAGCUAGAGUCCGGAAGAGGAGAGUGGAAUUCCUGGUGUAGCGGUGAAAUGCGCAGAUAUCAGGAAGAACACCCGUGGCGAAGGCGGCUCUCUGGGAGCGGUACUGACGCUGAGGCACGGAAGGUCAGGGGAGCAAACGGG